rnacentral:rRNA from 1 species
GACAGAGGUCCCGAGCGUUAGGCGGAAUCACUGGGCUUAAAGCGUGUGUAGGCGGACGCCUAAGUGUCUUGUGAAAUCCCACGGCUCACCCGUGGAACUGCUGGGCAUACUGGGCGUCUUGGGCCAACUAGGGGCAGCCGGAACAAGCGGUGGAGCGGUGAAAUGCGUAGAUAUCGCUUGGAACGCCGAAGGUGAAAACAGGCUGCUGGGGUUGCGCCGACGCUGAGACACGAAAGCCAGGGGAGCAAACGGG